CCUACGGGGGGCAGCAGUCGAGAAUCAUUCACAAUGGGGGAAACCCUGAUGGUGCGACGCCGCGUGGGGGAAUGAAGGUCUUCGGAUUGUAAACCCCUGUCAUGUGGGAGCAAAUUAAAAAGAUCGUACCACAAGAGGAAGAGACGGCUACCUCUGUGCCAGCAGCCGCGGUAAUACAGUGGUCUCAAGCGUUGUUCGGAAUCACUGGGCGUAAAGCGUGCGGAGGCUGUUUCGUAAGUCGUGUGUGAACGGCGCGGGCCCAACCCGGGGACGGCAAAGGAUACUGCGAGACUAGAGUGAGGGAGGGGGAACCGGAAUUCUCGGUGUAGCAGUGAAAUGCGUAGAUAUCGAGAGGAACACUCGUGGCGAAGGCGGGUUACUGGACAGUAACUGACGCUGAGGCACGAAGGCCAGGGGAGCGAAAGGGAUUAGAUACCCUUGUAGUC
rnacentral:rRNA from 1 species